GACAGAGGAUGCAAGCGUUAUCCGGAAUGAUUGGGUUUAAAGGGUCCGUAGGCGGCCCAGUAAGUCAGUGGUGAAAUCUCCCGGCUCAACCGGGAAAUUGCCAUUGAUACUGCUGGGCUUGAAUUACCAGGAAGUAACUAGAAUAUGUAGUGUAGCGGUGAAAUGCUUAGAGAUUACAUGGAAUACCAAUUGCGAAGGCAGGUUACUACUGGUGGAUUGACGCUGAUGGACGAAAGCGUGGGUAGCGAACAGGG
rnacentral:rRNA from 1 species